AUUUAAAUAAUUUAAAUAAAAUAUUGAUUUGUGGUAUCAAAAAUAUGAAUAAGUUCAUUUUAAAUU
rnacentral:tRNA from 1 species